rnacentral:tRNA from 1 species
UAGAAGAUAGUAUAGUUGGGAAUACAAGGAGUUUUGAUCUCUUAAUUAUAGGUUCAAAUCCUAUUUUUCUAG